rnacentral:tRNA from 2 species
GCGGACGUGGCGAAACUGGUAGACGCACGAGACUUAAAAUCUUGCGCCUUCAUAGGCUUACGGGUUCGAGUCCCGUCGUCCGCACCA